rnacentral:tRNA from 1 species
ACUAAUAUAGUUUAAUAAAAACAUUACAUUUUCACUGUAAAAAUAAGGUUAUAAACCUUUAUAAGUA